UCUUCCGUAGUAUAGUGGUCAGUAUGUGAGCUUGUCAAUGUUGGCAUCCUCCUUCAUAGCAACGCUCGAGACCCGGGUUCAAUUCCCGGCGGGAGAG
rfam:Chaetomium globosum CBS 148.51 scaffold_6 genomic scaffold, whole genome shotgun sequence.